UACGUAGGUGGCAAGCGUUGUCCGGAAUUACUGGGCGUAAAGGGCGCGUAGGCGGCCGCCUAAGUCAGACGUGAAAUCCCUAGGCUCAACCGGGGAACUGCGUCUGAUACUGGGUGGCUUGAAUCCGGGAGAGGGAUGCGGAAUUCCAGGUGUAGCGGUGAAAUGCGUAGAUAUCUGGAGGAACACCGGUGGCGAAGGCGGCAUCCUGGACCGGCAUUGACGCUGAUGAGCGAAAGCCAGGGGAGCAAACGGG
rnacentral:rRNA from 1 species